rnacentral:rRNA from 1 species
AUACGGAGGAUCCGAGCGUUAUCCGGAUUUAUUGGGUUUAAAGGGUGCGUAGGUGGUUUGAUAAGUCAGCGGUGAAAGUUUGCAGCUUAACUGUAAAAAUGCCGUUGAAACUGUCGGACUUGAGUGUAAAUGAGGUAGGCGGAAUGCGUGGUGUAGCGGGGAAAUGCAUAGAUAUCACGCAGAACUCCGAUUGCGAAGGCAGCUUACUAAGCUACAACUGACACUGAAGCACGAAAGCGUGGGGAUCAAACAGGAUUAGAUACCCUGGUAGUCCACGCAGUAAACGAUGAUUACUAGCUGUUUGCGAUACACAGUAAGCGGCACAGCGAAAGCGUUAAGUAAUCCACCUGGGGAGCACGCCGGCAACGGUGAAACUCAAAUGAAUUGGCGGGG